GGAAACAUCUUUCCUUUGUCACUCUGCUGAAAUCAAAGGAGCAAGCCUGGCUUCUUGUAUAUUUAACUUAGUUGACUAGAACUAGGAACUCUUUUCUCAGCUUUCUUAUUUUCUAUGACAAAAGUCUCUGUAUGAUUGAAGCAAAAGGGAAGUCUAUUCAUACAGGAUUCAAUACACAGCCACCUCCCAAGCUAUGUGUGAUCUGCAAGGACUUCUGAAGAGUGGAUCAAAGCCACUGCUUGGAAAAAGCCAGCAGAAGAAAACAUAAGUUCUGUCCAAGUUUCAUCUCCUCUUUGUUCAGUUAUCAGCAGUGUUUCAAAGCAGGCUUGUUUUGAAGUCAGCGAGAAAGCCAGAGAAAAAGGAAGGAAGACAGAACUGGGAUGAAAGGAAGAUGGUCAAACAGCAACAUCCUGAUCAGGAAUUGCAUAAAUAUAACAAUUAUUUAUUUAAGAAGAAAAACUACAUAGAGCUCAUUGGAACUUCCAGCUGAGAAAGUACAGAGGCCACAACUAAGAUGUGCUAAACAUUAACCACUUUCGGUUUUCAGAUUGUAACCAGAAAUUGGCAUCUCCUCUUCCUGAAUGCAUAGAUUGCACAAAUCUUUACUUUCCUGGGUACUGACACCGUUUCCUACUUAGCUGCUGAUUCUGCAGUAUCAUGGUUUCUGCCAGUUGCUUCUUCUUUCUUCUUCCUGAAUUAGUCAUAUGCAUGAUCCCCAGACUUAAGAACACAAGAGAAGCCCUGCUAGAACAAAGGCUUAUCUAGUCUGGCAUCCUCUUUCUGACAGUGGCCAACCAGAUGUCCUGGGAAGCUCACAAGUGGGACAUGCGCACAAGAGCCCUCUCUUGCUAUUGUCCCAGUGACUACUGUUGGGAGGUGUAUUUCCUCUGAACAAGGAGAUGCUAUAUAGCCAUCAUGACCAAUAGCCACUGAUGGGCUUAUCCUCCAUGAAUGUGUCUAAUCCCUUUUUAAAGUCAUAUAUGAUGUAAGUCCACAUCUUGUGGCAGAGAAUUCAGAAAAUGAAUUAUGUGUCAUGUGAUGAAAAACGUUCUCUUUUUUGACCUGAAUAUCCAUGCCAAUCAGUUUAACUGGAUGAUCCGAGGUUCUAGUAUAAUGAGAAUGGCAGAAAAACUCUCCACUUUCAUCAUCCAUAAU